CACCCAACAGCUAGCCUAACCCACAAAAUACAACAUACCAAUAUUUAUACCCCCUAAAACCCUAGUAACCACUAAACAAACCAUUUUUCCUCCUAAGUAUGGGAGACAGAAAAGGAUACAUAAGCGCAAUAGAAAAAGUACCGCAAGGGAACGCUGAAAGAGAAAUGAAAUAACUCAGUAAAGUAAAAAAAAGCAGAGACAAAACCUCGUACCUUUUGCAUCAUGUUUUAACUAGAAAAACUCAAGCAAGGAGAACUUUAGUUUGCUUUCCCGAAACCAAGUGAGCUACUCCAAGGCAGCCUAAAUUAAAGGGCAAACCCGUCUCUGUGGCAAAAGAGUGGGAAGAACUUAGAGUAGAGGUGACAGACCUACCGAACUUGGUUAUAGCUGGUUGCCUGAGAAUUGAAUAGAAGUUCAGCUUUCUAGUUUCUCCACUCAAAUAUGCCUCAGCUCUCACUGACUAAAAGAAACUAAAAAAGUUAGUUAAAGGGGGUACAGCCCCUUUAAAUAAAGACACAACUUUUCCAGCUGGGUAAAGAUCAUAAUAACCAAGGCAUAAUGUUUUAGUGGGCCUAAAAGCAGCCAUCUAAAGAAAGCGUUAAAGCUCAGACAUAAUAUAAUCCACCCAAUUCAGAUAAUAAUUCUUAACCCCCUAACUAUAUCAGGCUUUUCCAUGUCCCCAUGGAAGUAAUAAUGUUAAUAUGAGUAAUAAGAGAACUUAAUUCUCUCCUGGCACAUGUGUAAAUCGGAACGGACCUCCCACCGAAAAUUAACGGCCCCAAAAAAAGAGGGUAAUGAACCGUAAGUUUAAAAACAAGAAACACCCCCAAAAAUGAACCGUUAACCCCACACUGGUGUACCCCAAGGAAAGACUAAAAGAAAAAGAAGGAACUCGGCAAACAUAAGCCUCGCCUGUUUACCAAAAACAUCGCCUCUUGCAAAAACAAAGAAUAAGAGGUCCCGCCUGCCCUGUGACAAAUAGUUUAACGGCCGCGGUAUUUUGACCGUGCAAAGGUAGCGCAAUCACUUGUCUUUUAAAUGAAGACCCGUAUGAAUGGCACGACGAGGGCCUGACUGUCUCCUUUUUCCAGUCAAUGAAAUUGAUCUCUCCGUGCAGAAGCGGGGAUAAGAACAUAAGACGAGAAGACCCUAUGGAGCUUUAGACACCAAGGCAGCUUUUUUAACAACCCCAAAAUAAAGGGGACAUUUGAAAAACCCCUGCCCUAUUGUCUUUGGUUGGGGCGACCGCGGGGUAACAAAAAACCCCCAUGUAGAUUGGGAAUUAUUUCCCACAACCAAGAGCCACAGCUCUAAGCAACAGAACAUCUGACUAUUAGAUCCGGCAAUGCCGAUCAACGAACCGAGUUACCCUAGGGAUAACAGCGCAAUCCCCUUUUAGAGUCCAUAUCGACAAGGGGGUUUACGACCUCGAUGUUGGAUCAGGACAUCCUAAUGGUGCAGCCGCUAUUAAGGGUUCGUUUGUUCAACGAUUAAAGUCCU
rnacentral:rRNA from 1 species